rnacentral:rRNA from 1 species
CCCUUUGGGUGUGACUGCGUACCUUUUGUAUAAUGGGUCAGCGACUUAUAUUCUGUAGCAAGGUUAACCGAAUAGGGGAGCCGGAGGGAAACCGAGUCUUAACCGGGCGUUAAGUUGCAGGGUAUAGACCCGAAACCCGGUGAUCUAGCCAUGGGCAGGUUGAAGGUUGGGUAACACUAACUGGAGGACCGAACCGACUAAUGUUGAAAAAUUAGCGGAUGACCUGUGGCUGGGGGUGAAAGGCCAAUCAAACCGGGAGAUAGCUGGUUCUCCCCGAAAGCUAUUUAGGUAGCGCCUCGUGAAUUCAUCUCCGGGGGUAGAGCACUGUUUCGGCUAGGGGGCCAUCCCGGCUUACCAACCCGAUGCAAACUGCGAAUACCGGAGAAUGUUAUCACGGGAGACACACGGCGGGUGCUAACGUCCGUCGUGAAGAGGGAAACAACCCAGACCGCCAGCUAAGGUCCCAAAGUCAUGGUUAAGUGGGAAACGAUGUGGGAAGGCCCAGACAGCCAGGAUGUUGGCUUAGAAGCAGCCAUCAUUUAAAGAAAGCGUAAUAGCUCACUGGUCGAGUCGGCCUGCGCGGAAGAUGUAACGGGGCUAAACCAU